rnacentral:rRNA from 1 species
CUGGUUGAUCCUGCCAGUAGUCAUAUGCUCGUCUAAAAGAUUAAGCCAUGCACGUAUGAGUCUAACCAAUCAGACCGGGAAACUGCAGAUGGCUCAUUAAAUCAGUUUUUAUUCAUUUGAUGUUACCUUUACUACAUGGACAACUGUAGUAAUUCUAGAGCUAAUACAUGCGUCGAGUCCUGACUCUCUGAGGAGGGAUGUAUUUAUUAGAUAAAAAACCAACGCCCGCAAGGGCUGGUCGGUGAUUCCUAGUAACUAGUCGGAUCGCAUGGCCUCGUGCCGGCGACAGAUCAUUCAAAAUUCUGCCCUAUCAGCUUUCGACGGUAGUGUAGUGGACUACCGUGGCAGUGACGGGUGACGGAGAAUUAGGGUUCGAUUCCGGAGAGGGAGCCUGAGAAAUGGCUACCACAUCCAAGGAAGGCAGCAGGCGCGCAAAUUACCCAAUCCUAACACAGGGAGGUAGUGACAAGAAAUAACAAUACCGGGCCUUUACAGGUCUGGUAAUUGGAAUGAGUACAAUUUAAAUCCCUUUCACAAGGAUCGAUUGGAGGGCAAGUCUGGUGCCAGCAGCCGCGGUAAUUCCAGCUCCAAAAGCGUAUAUUAAAGUUGUUGCAGUUAAAAAGCUCGUAGUUGGAUUUCUGGCACGGUGCGCCUGGUCCGCGCCGCCCUCGUUGGUGGUGUGUGUACCGGUUCGCGCGCCUGCCAUCCUCGGACCGGGUGCGCGGCUUCCCUUCACUGGGCGGCCGCGUGUCAGCCCGCCGUCUUCUACUUUGAGUAAAUCGAGUGGUUCAAACAAGGCGUUGUCGCCGUGAACAGAUUAGCAUGGAAUAAUAAGAUAGGACUUGGGUUCUAUUUUGUUGGUUUCUAGGGCCGAAGUAAUGAUUGACAGGGACAGUUGGGGGGUGCUGGUAUUCACGGGGCCAGAGGUGAAAUUCUUGGAUUCCGUGAAGACCAACUUAUGCGAAAGCAUUCACCAAGGAUGUCUUCUUUAAUCAAGAACGAAAGUUGGGGGAUCGAAGACGAUCAGAUACCGUCGUAGUCUCAACCAUAAACGAUGCCGACUCGGGAUCGGUGGUUGUUGUUUUCAUGACACCAUCGGCACCGUGCGAGAAAUCACAAGUGUUUGGGUUCCGGGGGGAGUAUGGUCGCAAGUCUGAAACUUAAAGGAAUUGACGGAAGGGCACCACCAGGCGUGGAACUUGCGGCUUAAUUUGACUCAACACGGGAAAUCUUACCAGGAUCGGAUGAUAUAAGGAUUGACAGAUUGAAGUUCUUUCUUGAUUUAUCAGGUGGUGGUGCAUGGCCGUUCUUAGUUGGUGGAGUGAUUCGUCUGAUUAAUUUCGUCAACGAACGAGACCUCGGCCUACUAACUAGCUCGGCGCGCUGCUCGUCAGCGUGCCCCGCGGCUUCUUAGAGGGACGUUCGGUGCGUAGCCGAAGGAAGUUCGAGGCAAUAACAGGUCUGUGAUGCCCUUAGAUAUUCUGGGCUGCACGCGUGUUACACUGACGCAUUCAUCGAGCUCACCCUCCUCGGCCGACAGGCCCGGGUAAUCUCUGCAAAGUGCGUCGUGAUGGGGAUAGAUGAUUGAAAUUAUUCAUCUUCAACGAGGAAUGCCUAGUAAGCGCGAGUCAUCAGCUCGCAUUGAUUACGUCCCUGCCCUUUGUACACACCGCCCGUCGCUACUACCGAUUGAACGGUUUAGUGAGUCCCGCGGAGUGCUGCUGCCGGCCGCGAGGCUGGCGGUGAUGCGAAGCGGUUCAAACUUGGCUGUUUAGAGGAAGUAAAAGUCGUAACAAGGUUUCCGUAGGUGAACCUGCAG